rnacentral:rRNA from 1 species
AGUGAACGCUGGCGGUAGGCCUAACACGUGCAAGUCGAACGGCAGCACAGGAGAGCUUGCUCUCUAGGUGGCGAGUGGCGGACGGGUGAGGAAUACAUCGGAAUCUGCCCAGUCGUGGGGGAUAACGUAGGGAAACUUACGCUAAUACCGCAUACGACCUUCGGGUGAAAGAGGGGGAUCGCAAGACCUCUCGCGAUUGGAUGAGCCGAUGUCGGAUUAGCUAGUUAGCGGGGUAAUGGCCCACCAAGGCGACGAUCCGUAGCUGGUCUGAGAGGAUGAUCAGCCACACUGGAACUGAGACACGGUCCAGACUCCUACGGGAGGCAGCAGUGGGGAAUAUUGGACAAUGGGCGCAAGCCUGAUCCAGCCAUACCGCGUGGGUGAAGAAGGCCUUCGGGUUGUAAAGCCCUUUUGUUGGGAAAGAAAUCUUUCAGGCUAAUACCCUGGGAGGAUGACGGUACCCAAAGAAUAAGCACCGGCUAACUUCGUG